rnacentral:piRNA from 1 species
UGUGAAUACAGCUUUUUUUGA